ACUUUAUUAAUUACAUUUCAAAAUUUAUAACAUGAUAUAUUGUUGGGAAAAUGAACUUAUAUUCAUGUAUUUUUUUUUUAAAAUAUAUAGGUGUUACUUCGAUAACAAUUGAUGACAAAACCGGGAAAAUGACUGUAGUUGGUGAAGUUGAUGUACCGGUUAUUGUGAUGAAGCUAAGGAAGCUAUGUAACACAGAGAUUGUUUCGGUUGAAGUUGUUAAACCACCUGAGAAAAAGCCUGAACCGGAGAAACCGGCUCCACUUAAACCAGCUCCAGCUCCAGCUAAACCGGGUGAAAUUGUUGCCUGGCCGGUUCAGAUGAACAACCCUUACCAAUACCAUCCUGCCUAUGCAAAUUCUUACUAUCAACCAUACGGAAAUUCUAGAUUUGUAACGGACGAAUCAAAUUGUGUGAUUAUGUGAUUUUUAUAGAGUUAUUUCAAAUAAUGUUAAGUUAGUUUUAAUGGAAGAAUGUAAUUUUUUGAGCUACUGUAAUAUACAUUUCUCGUAUGAGCUUAUUCGGAAAAAAAUUAAGUUACUGUGUGAUAAAAUUGAUCUUUAUACGUUAUGUUAACUUUUACUUUUAAUCAUCUUGUAAUAUUUGAUCUUUUUUCCUAUAGAGAAUAUUCUCUAUACUUUGUCUUUUGCUAGUAUUCUGAUCAAUUGGAUACAAAAAUAUAACACACACACAUAGUUAAGUCGCUCUCAACUCAUUUAUGAAUAUCAAGAAUCAAGAUCGUUCACGUAAUACAUUCGAUUGUCCAAAACUAAAAUAAUUUUGAAACAAUUAUUGAAGAAUGAGAUGUUAGUAAAGAUGUGAUGGAGAGAGUCAAGAUCGGAAAGUCUCCUUUAACAAAACAAAUAAAAAAUAAAAAAAAUCCCUAGAAGAUUCCUACGUGUGGGGGAUCCACAUGUAAAUUGAGGUUUCGAGGAGAUUUCCUUUCUUGACUAUGAAAUGGCAGUAUUAUUCAAGUCUUCUUAUCAUUUUGCUAAUAAUAUGAAUCGCAUGAAACAAUUCAAAAAGUUAAAAUUUUGGAUUCAUGCAUGCAUAAUGCAUUCAUUUGAUUUUGAGAUCUAACAAAACUCUUGUGUCAGAUUAAGUCAUAACUUCUAAAAUUUUAGUUUAAAUCAUGUGUUAUUUAUUCAAUAAAAUACAAGUUAAAAAUUUUGUGUUAUUCUAUUAAUAUUUUAAAUUACAAGGUAGAAAUUAUGAUUUUUUCUGAGAAUUUUUUUUUUUUUUUUUUUUUUUGCACAACAAAGAUUUGUGGGUAUGAAAUGUGCUAUACUAGUAUGAUGCAGGUAGCACAAUUCGAGGAGUCUUGUUUGUCUAAGAGUAAAGUUAUAAAUCGAGAGCAUGGUGCAAAGAAAACCAUUUUACCGUGGUGUGAAUAUAAUUGUUUGUUGAAAAAUCGUAUGUAGAAUCGCUCGCCAUAAAAAAUUGCAUAAAUGAAUUGAUAGUCAUGAUCAUGAAUGUUGUUGAUCAAUUAUAAUUUGGAUAAAAAAGGUUAAAGUUUCUUCAAAUUAUAGUGUAUCAGAAAAACAAAAGAAACGUGUGGGGUAUAUUAGAAUAAAAGGUAUUUAGUAAUUUUUUUAUAUAUUUAAUGAGAUUAAACACGUCUACUUUCUAUAUUUUAUACACUAGCGCAUUAAUCAAAAAUAGAAAAUUUGACAUAGUAGGAGAGUCAGCUUUUAGUCUAAAAUUUGGAGAAAUGAAUAUACUAAGGGAAUAUACUCAUCUCUCCCUAUAAUACUCAUCUAUAGCAAAAUGGAGAGAGUAUAAAUUAAGAUAAAGAUUCACAUACAUUGUUUCCGAAUUGUUAUUAUUUUCUUAAAAUUUGAACAAUUUCUCGAUUAGUGUGUCGUCCUUAUGCUAAUCUUCUUUGUAUUGUUCCAAAUUUUAUCAAAUAUUCCCGGUAACAGAAAUUUAACCUCAAGAAACAAACAUGUGAUCUAAUUUACACAAAUAUUCGUUUCCAUCACAAACACAAAACCUAGAGAUCACAAACUACUACUUGUUACCUUUUUGUUGUUGUUGUUAAAGAUCUUGCUACUUAUUACUUUCUUCUUGACUGCCUCGAUGAUCUCGGGAUUUAAACUUUUCUUUUGGCAGCUUCGAAUUAUUUUCGUGUGGCUCUGAGUAGGCAUUGCUAUAUGAUAACUAGAGAGAACAACGAUAACAUUUGAUCAAACUUAUCUUUCCUCUCAUCUCUUUAUAACAUCUUUAAAAAUUAUUAAAGAACAAUUGUGACUUAAAUCUCGGUUUGAUUUCGAUUUUAUCUAUUGGUUUUGGUAUGAUUCAACUUUUCCAAGAACACACUGUAGAGAACUUUCCUGAGAAUUGCUUAUGUGACCAAAGAGUCAAUAGGGUCAACAGAUGGUCCGGGUCGACCCGGUCGUACACGCGGCAUUCUGAAUGUUAACCAAAAUAAUAUAGAAUGACUACUUUACUCUUUAGUCUUUUAUAACAACUUUUUGGGGUCAUACUCGCAAAUUCCUACGCAAUUUCUAUAUAAAUAGAUAUCAUAAGACUUGCAAUAUGUCAUCAAGAAGCUUCGAUAUCUCAAUCUAUCUCUACUCUUUCUCUCUUUAAAAAAAAAACAAAAUAUCCAAAAUUUCUGGAGUAGUUUCUCGAGCCAUGACGACCGCGAAGGUACGCAUUUCAUUUUAUCAUCCUUAGACUAUGCGUUAAUUAAUCGUUAUAUACUAUUCUAACUAUAAAAUUAUCAUUUUUUACAUUGAAACUAUGCAAUUAUCCAUACUGAUUUCUCAUUUGCAAUAACAGAAAGUUGUGUUGCAAUUAAGCAUUCACGAGGAGAAAAUCAGGAAGAAAGCGCUUGUCACCGUUUCUCGAUUUUCAGGUAUCUAUUAUGAAAUUUCUAUUAGAAAUUUUUAAUAUGAUAUAUAAGGAAAAUAAACUUGUAUUAAUGAUUUUUUUUCUUUAUAUAUAUAGGGGUUACUUCGAUAACAAUAGAUGACAAAAGUGGGAAAAUGACGGUAGUUGGAGAAGUUGAUGUACCAGUUAUCGUGAUCAAGCUGAGGAAGCUAUGUCACACAGAUAUCGUUUCGGUAGAUGAUGUUAAACCACCUGAGAAAAAGCCUGAACCGGAGAAACCAGCUCUACCUAUACCGGCUGAAUUUAUUACAUAUCCGAUGAACUACGCGUAC
rnacentral:lncRNA from 1 species